rnacentral:rRNA from 1 species
UACGAAGGGGGCUAGCGUUGUUCGGAAUUACUGGGCGUAAAGCGCGCGCAGGCGGUCUUCCAAGUCAGUGGUGAAAGCCCGGAGCUCAACUCCGGAACUGCCAUUGAAACUGUAAGACUUGAGGACGAGAGAGGUGAGUGGAAUUCCCAGUGUAGAGGUGAAAUUCGUAGAUAUUGGGAAGAACACCGGUGGCGAAGGCGGCCAACUGGACCACAACUGACGCUGAGGCGCGAAAGCGUGGGGAGCAAACAGG